rnacentral:rRNA from 1 species
UGCAGUCGAGCGGUAACAGGGGAGCUUGCUCCUGCUGACGAGCGGCGGACGGGUGAGUAACGCGUAGGAAUCUACCUAGUAGAGGGGGACAACAUGUGGAAACGCAUGCUAAUACCGCAUACACCCUAAGGGGGAAAGGAGGGGACUCUUCGGAGCCUUCCGCUAUUAGAUGAGCCUGCGUGAGAUUAGCUAGUUGGUAGGGUAAAGGCCUACCAAGGCGACGAUCUCUAACUGGUCUGAGAGGAUGACCAGUCACACUGGGACUGAGACACGGCCCAGACUCCUACGGGAGGCAGCAGUGGGGAAUAUUGGACAAUGGGCGGAAGCCUGAUCCAGCCAUGCCGCGUGUGUGAAGAAGGCCUUAGGGUUGUAAAGCACUUUCAGGGGUGAGGAAGGGUAACUGGCUAAUAUCCAGUUAUCUUGACGUUAGCCCCAGAAGAAGCACCGGCUAACUCUGUGCCAGCAGCCGCGGUAAUACAGAGGGUGCAAGCGUUAAUCGGAAUUACUGGGCGUAAAGCGCGCGUAGGUGGUUUGUUAAGUCGGAUGUGAAAUCCCAGGGCUCAACCUUGGAAUG